CCAGGGGUCCCAGCUUAACCGGACUAAAUCCUGGACCUCUAGCCCCCGGCCCCUCAGUGACUAGUGGAGAUAAAUCGCAGGUUGUGCCCUUAUUGGUUCCCAGGUUCCCACAUGGCUUUUACUCCUUCCCCAAAGGGACCCUCCUCCAUGGUUAUUACAUCACCAAACUGCUCCAACCCUUCAUCUGGUUAUUACAUCACUUGGCUGCUCUAACCAGGAAUCGAACUCCCCACACUUGGUUCCAGAGCCCCCCAAUGUGAUUGUUCCGCC
rnacentral:lncRNA from 1 species